rnacentral:rRNA from 1 species
AGAGUUCAUAUCGACGGCGGUGUUUGGCACCUCGAUGUCGGCUCAUCACAUCCUGGGGCUGAAGUCGGUCCCAAGGGUAUGGCUGUUCGCCAUUUAAAGUGGUACGCGAGCUGGGUUUAGAACGUCGUGAGACAGUUCGGUCCCUAUCUGCCGUGGGCGUUGGAAGAUUGAAGGGGGCUGCUCCUAGUACGAGAGGACCGGAGUGGACGAACCUCUGGUGUUCGGGUUGUGUCGCCAGACGCAUUGCCCGGUAGCUAAGUUCGGAAUUGAUAAGCGCUGAAAGCAUCUAAGCGCGAAGCGAGCCCUGAGAUGAGUCUUCCCUGAUACUUUAAGUAUCCUAAAGGGUUGUUCGAGACUAGAACGUUGAUAGGCAGGGUGUGUAAGCGUUGUGAGGCGUUGAGCUAACCUGUACUAAUUGCCCGUGAGGCUUAACCAU